AUGAAUGAUAUCGAUUAUGCUAUUACCCAAGACGAGCCAACCAGACCUGUUGCGAAUUCCCCUACUGAAGUGAAAAAGGUGCAUGAAGCUUAGAGGAUGGCGAAUAAGAAGUGUCUUUUGCUUAUGAAGAAGACAAUUUCGGAAGCCGUUUUUGGUGGAGUUGAAGAAACAAAAGGUGCCAAGCAGUUUAUGGAAUCAAUUGAAAGGAAGUUUAAGGAAUCUAACAAGGCUGAAACGAAGAACCUCAUGUCUAGGCUGGCUAAUACGAAGUAUGAAGGAGGGAGUGUGAGAGAACAUCUCAUGGGACUCGUGGAUAUUGCUACCAAACUGAACAUGUUGAAAGUACCUAUUGAUCCGACUUAUCUAGUGCACAAUGCACUGGAUUCUCUACCUUAUGAUCAGAUGAAAUCCACCUAUAACACCCUGACGGAGGAUUGGACAAUGGAUGACUUGAUUACAAUCGUUAUUCUUGAGAAUAGGACACAAGCUUAUAGUGGUGUUGUUAACAUGGUCACUACCAAGAAGUAUGAGAAUAAGGAUGUUGCAAAAUGGAAAGUAAAGAAACUACUAGACCAACUUCGUCUAGUCACUUCUCUUCAUGACAUGCUCACGAGAACAGAGCAGAUAUUUCUGCAUGACUAG
rnacentral:lncRNA from 1 species